rnacentral:rRNA from 1 species
AUUGAACGCUGGCGGCAGGCCUAACACAUGCAAGUCGAGCGGAUGAAGGGAGCUUGCUCCUGGAUUCAGCGGCGGACGGGUGAGUAAUGCCUAGGAAUCUGCCUGGUAGUUGGGGAUAAGGUCCGGAAACGGGCGCUAAUACCGUAUACGUCCUGAGGGAGAAAGUGGUGGAUCUUCGGACCUCACGCUAUCAGAUGACACUAGGUCGGAUUAGCUAGUUGGUUGGGUAAAGGCCUACCAAGGCGACGAUCCGUAACUGGUCUGAGAGGAUGAUCAGACACACUGGAACUGAGACACGGUCCAGACUCCUACGGGAGGCAGCAGUGGGGAAUCUUGGACAAUGGGCGAAAGCCUGAUCCAGCCAUGCCGCGUGUGUGAAGAAGGUCUUCGGAUUGUAAAGCACUUUAAGUUGGGAGGAAGGGCAGUAAGUUAAUACCUUGCUGUUUUGACGUUACCAACAGAAUAAGCACCGGCUAACUUCGUG